AUCCGGCUGACGAGUCCCAAAUAAGAUGAAACGCGUGUCCUGGAU
rfam:Schistosoma mattheei strain Denwood, Zambia genome assembly, scaffold: SMTD_scaffold0000972